rnacentral:rRNA from 1 species
UGGGGAAUAUUGGGCAAUGGGCGAAAGCCUGACCCAGCAACGCCGCGUGAAGGAAGAAGGUUUUCGGAUUGUAAACUUCUGUCCUAAGUGACGAAGGAAGUGACGGUAGCUUAGGAGGAAGCCCCGGCUAACUACGUGCCAGCAGCCGCGGUAAUACGUAGGGGGCGAGCGUUGUCCGGAAUGACUGGGCGUAAAGGGCGUGUAGGCGGCUGAUUAAGUCUGAAGUGAAAGUCCUGCUUUCAAGGUGGGAAUUGCUUUGGAGACUGGUCGGCUUGAGUGCGGAAGAGGUAAGUGGAAUUCCCAGUGCAGCGGUGAAAUGCGUAGAGAUUGGGAGGAACACCAGUGGCGAAGGCGACUUACUGGGCCGUAACUGACGCUGAGGCGCGAAAGCGUGGGGAGCGAACAGGAUUAGAUACCCUGGUAGU